UGGGGAAUAUUGCCCAAUGGGCGAAAGCCUGAUGCAGCAACGCCGCGUGAGGGACGACGGCCUUCGGGUUGUAAACCUCUUUUAGCAGGGAAGAAGCGAAAGUGACGGUACCUGCAGAAAAAGCACCGGCUAACUACGUGCCAGCAGCCGCGGUAAUACGUAGGGUGCAAGCGUUGUCCGGAAUUAUUGGGCGUAAAGAGCUCGUAGGCGGUUUGUCACGUCUGCUGUGAAAACCCGAGGCUCAACCUCGGGCUUGCAGUGGGUACGGGCAGACUAGAGUGCGGUAGGGGAGAUUGGAAUUCCUGGUGUAGCGGUGGAAUGCGCAGAUAUCAGGAGGAACACCGAUGGCGAAGGCAGAUCUCUGGGCCGUAACUGACGCUGAGGAGCGAAAGCAUGGGGAGCAAACAGGCUUAGAUACCCUGGUAGUCCAUGCCGUAAACGUUGGGAACUAGAUGUGGGGACCAUUCCACGGUCUCCGUGUCGUAGCUAACGCAUUAAGUUCCCCGCCUGGGGAGUACGGCCGCAAGGCUAAAACUCAAAGGAAUUGACGGGGUCAUAGCUGUUUCCU
rnacentral:rRNA from 1 species